rnacentral:rRNA from 1 species
CCUACGGGUGGCUGCAGUGGGGGAUAUUGCACAAUGGGGGAAACCCUGAUGCAGCGACGCCGCGUGUGGGAAGACGGUCCUCUGGAUUGUAAACCACUGUCCCCAGGGACGAAGAUGACGGUACCUGGGGAGGAAGCUCCGGCUAACUACGUGCCAGCAGCCGCGGUAAUACGCAGGGAGCGAGCGUUGUCGGGAAUUACGGGGUGUAAGGGGAGCGUAGGCGGGGAUGCAAGUUGGGUGUCAAAACUACCGGCUAAACUGGUAGUCGCACUCGAAACUGGAGCUCUUGAGUGAAGUAGAGGCAGGCGGAAUUCCUGGUGUAGCGGUGAAAUGCGUAGAGAUUAGGAGGAACACCAGUGGCGAAGGCGGCCUGCUGGGCGUUUACUGACGCUGAGGCUCGAAAGUGUGGGGAGCAAACAGGAUUAGAUACCCCAGUAGUC